rnacentral:rRNA from 1 species
AGCGAACGCUGGCGGCAGGCCUAACACAUGCAAGUCGAACGGAUCCUUCGGGAUUAGUGGCGGACGGGUGAGUAACACGUGGGAACGUGCCCUUUGGUUCGGAACAACUCAGGGAAACUUGAGCUAAUACCGGAUGUGCCCUUCGGGGGAAAGAUUUAUCGCCAUUGGAGCGGCCCGCGUCUGAUUAGCUAGUUGGUGAGGUAACGGCCCACCAAGGCGACGAUCAGUAGCUGGUCUGAGAGGAUGAUCAGCCACACUGGGACUGAGACACGGCCCAGACUCCUACGGGAGGCAGCAGUGGGGAAUCUUGCGCAAUGGGCGAAAGCCUGACGCAGCCAUGCCGCGUGAAUGAUGAAGGUCUUAGGAUUGUAAAAUUCUUUCAGCGGGGACGAUAAUGACGGUACCCGCAGAAGAAGCUCCAGCUAACUUCGUG